rnacentral:rRNA from 1 species
UGGGGAAUAUUGCACAAUGGGCGCAAGCCUGAUGCAGCCAUGCCGCGUGUAUGAAGAAGGCCUUCGGGUUGUAAAGUACUUUCAGCGGGGAGGAAGGGAGUAAAGUUAAUACCUUUGCUCAUUGACGUUACCCGCAGAAGAAGCACCGGCUAACUCCGUGCCAGCAGCCGCGGUAAUACGGAGGGUGCAAGCGUUAAUCGGAAUUACUGGGCGUAAAGCGCACGCAGGCGGUUUGUUAAGUCAGAUGUGAAAUCCCCGGGCUCAACCUGGGAACUGCAUCUGAUGCUGGCAAGCUUGAGUCUCGUAGAGGGGGGUAGAAUUCCAGGUGUAGCGGUGAAAUGCGUAGAGAUCUGGAGGAAUACCGGUGGCGAAGGCGGCCCCCUGGACGAAGACUGACGCUCAGGUGCGAAAGCGUGGGGAGCAAACAGG